CCUACGGGUCGCACCAGUGGGGAAUAUUGCACAAUGGGCGCAAGCCUGAUGCAGCGACGCCGCGUGGGGGAUGACGGCCUUCGGGUUGUAAACCUCUUUCAGCAGGGAAGAAGCGAAAGUGACGGUACCUGCAGAAGAAGCGCCGGCUAACUACGUGCCAGCAGCCGCGGUAAUACGUAGGGCGCAAGCGUUGUCCGGAAUUAUUGGGCGUAAAGAGCUCGUAGGCGGUUUGUCGCGUCUGCUGUGAAAGCCCGGGGCUCAACCCCGGGUGUGCAGUGGGUACGGGCAGGCUGGAGUGCAGUAGGGGAGACUGGAAUUCCUGGUGUAGCGGUGAAAUGCGCAGAUAUCAGGAGGAACACCGAUGGCGAAGGCAGGUCUCUGGGCUGUUACUGACGCUGAGGAGCGAAAGCAUGGGGAGCGAACAGGAUUAGAUACCCCGGUAGUC
rnacentral:rRNA from 1 species